UUAUAUGAUUAACAAAAAAUCAGACAAUGCCGUGUUCAGUCCCAACUAAUCAGAAUCGGAACGAGUUCAGUCAACUACUCGAGAGCCAUUACAACCCCAAGUCUAUUAAAAAACCAACAGAAAUGAUCCUUCCGCAGGUUCACCUACGGAAA
rnacentral:misc_RNA from 1 species